rnacentral:rRNA from 1 species
AAAGUGGCGCACGGGUGAGUAACACGUGGGUAAUCUACCUUGGAGUUCGGGACAACAUCGGGAAACUGAUGCUAAUACCGGAUGAGCUCACGGGUCCUUCGGGACCUGGGAGAAAAGGGGGCCUCUUCAUGAAAGCUCCCGCUUUGGGAUGAGCCCGCGCACCAUUAGCUUGUUGGUGAGGUAAAAGCUCACCAAGGCCGCGAUGGUUAGCUGGUCUGAGAGGAUGAUCAGCCACACUGGGACUGACACACGGCCCAGACUCCUACGGGAGGCAGCAGUAGGGAAUAUUGCGCAAUGGGGGAAACCCUGACGCAGCAACGCCGCGUGGGUGAAGAAGGCCUUCGGGUUGUAAAGCCCUGUCAGGAGGGAAGAAAUGCGGAGCAGAACAAUACCUGCUUCGUUUGACGGUACCUCUAGAGGAAGCACCGGCCAACUCCGUGCCAGCAGCCGCGGUAAUACGGAGGGUGCGAGCGUUGUUCGGAUUUACUGGGCGUAAGCGCGUGCAGGCGGCUCGUUAGGUCAGAUGUGAAUCCC